rnacentral:sRNA from 1 species
GGCACAGAUGACUCCACCCUGGUCCGGAUUGUGGUCACUCGAAGUGAGAUGGAGUCUCGCUCUGUCACCCAGGCUGAAAUACAGUGGCACAAUCUCGGCUUACUGCACCCUCUGCUUCCCGGGUUCAAGUGAUUCUCCUGUGUCAGCCUCCUGAGUAGCUGGGGUUACAGAUUGACCUUGUACAAAUAAAACAGAUGUUCGCUCAGAUGUAUCAGAAGACUCUGGGCACAAUGAUUGCAGGUGACACGAGUGGAGAUUACCGAAGACUUCUUCUGGCUAUUGUGGGCCAGUAGGAGGGAAUUUUUUUUUUUUUUUUUUUUAAUGAAAAAAAAUUUCUAUUCAUAGCUUAUCCUUCAGAGCAAUGACCUGCAUGCAGCAAUAUCAAACAUCAGCUAACCAAAAGAGCUUUCUGUCAAGGACCAUAUCAGGGUAAUGUGCUUGGUUUGCACAUGUUGUUAUUGCCUUAAUUCUAAUGUUAUUUUGUUCUCUACAUACAAUCAAUGUAAAGCCAUAUCACAAUGAUACAGUAAUAUUGCAAUGUUUGUAAACCUUCAUUCUUACUAGUUUCAUUCUAAUCAAGAUGUCAAAUUGAAUAAAAAUCACAGCAAUCUCUGAUUCUGUGUAAUAAUAUUGAAUAAUUUUUUAGAAGGUUACUGAAAGCUCUGCCUUCCAGAAUCCCUCCAGGUCUGCUUGAUAGAGUGGAUAGUAUGUUAAAACUGUGUACUUUUAAAAAAAAUUCAACUCUUUA